GCCCCUGUAGCUCAAUGGUUAGAGCAGCAGACUCAUAAUCUGUUGGUUGCAAGUUCGACUCUUGCCGGGGGCA
rnacentral:tRNA from 1 species